CUUAAGCAAAAAUUCCUUGUUGAACAGGGUUUAGUGAAUUCACAUAUUUCUUCAUAACCUAAUAAGCACCGAAAAGCAAUGGCGUUUUCUAUGAAUUCUUCAUCAUCAAGAUUUUCGUUGGGUUUCUCCGGGGACAUGAACAUGGAGGGGGACACAAAAAUCAUGGCAUUUAUCCAACUUACUGGCAUCGCUGUUAUUUUUCUGUUCAACCUCGUGUUAGUUCGCAUGAAACCACGUGUCACUGUCGCUUCAAAUCGUCUUGCUACUAUCUCUGGGGAGGCCGAAGUUGAUGUAGAGCUUCCCUAGAUUAAUGAUUAAGUUUGAUGGUAAACCGUUCAUUUCUCUUCCCUUUCUAGCUCAUGCAUCUCACCAGGUAUUACCUUCCGCAUGAUGCUCCAUUGUCCCAUAUCCCUUCACCCGCCGCUGCAAAAAGAUUGCUUGAUUGGAACUGGGUUUGAUCUUUCCCAAAGCACGCCGUAGCUGCAUCCGCAUCAUCAUUUGAUUAAAAUUACGAACAGAAGCUAGCACACACUGUGAUUUGUGUAGAUUUUAUUUUUCAUGCUUGGGUUGGGUUGAUGAGAGCCCUUGAAUCUGCCUCAAUAUUCAUCCAUUCAAAAAAUCAUGGGCUCUAAAUGAAAUUUCAAUGAGUUGUUACUGUUUAAUAAUAUUAAUUCAUUUUUUUAUAAAAAUUAAAUUUUUUUCAAUAUCUGCAGAUCACUCCCCGUCGGGUGGUUGGACAGUAGCUGUGGUCAGAGGAGUUCUAUGAUGUUGAAGGGAAUAAAGUUGGGCGCUUUUGCUGCGAUUGUUUUUCUUUUUAGUAAUUCGUAACAGGGUUUUAUGUAAGAAUUCGUGUUUCGUUCAAUGAUGUAAUAAAAAUGGA
rnacentral:lncRNA from 1 species